rnacentral:tRNA from 1 species
UCCGACUUAGCUCAGCGGUAGAGCAAUCGGCUGUUAACCGAUUGGUCGCUGGUUCGAUCCCAGCAGUCGGAGCCA